CCUACGGGUGGCAGCAGUGGGGAAUAUUGCACAAUGGGGGAAACCCUGAUGCAGCGACGCCGCGUGAGUGAAGAAGUAAUUCGUUAUGGAAAGCUCUAUCAGCAGGGAAGAAAAUGACGGUACCUGAGUACGAAGCCCCGGCUAACUACGUGCCAGCAGCCGCGGUAAUACGUAGGGGGCAAGCGUUAUCCGGAUUUACUGGGUGUAAAGGGAGCGUAGACGGCAGUGCAAGUCUGGAGUGAAAGGCGGGGGCUCAACCCCCGGACUGCCCUGGAAACUGUACGGCUGGAGUGCAGGAGAGGUAAGUGGAAUGCCGAGUGUAGCGGUGAAAUGCGUAGAUAUUAGGAGGAACACCAGUGGCGAAGGCGGCUUACUGGACUGUAACUGACGUUGAGGCUCGAAAGCGUGGGGAGCAAACAGGAUUAGAUACCCCUGUAGUC
rnacentral:rRNA from 1 species